AUGAAGUUGACGGGGGAGCACUACAACGGGUGGAGCCUGCGGGUUUAAUUGGAUUCAACCGCCGGAAACUCUCGACCGGGGGCGACAGCAAUAUGAAGGUCAGGCUGAAGACCUUACCCGAUUAGCUGAGAGGUGGUGCAUGGCCGUCGUCAGUUCGUACUGUGAAGCAUCCUGUUAAGUCAGGCAACGAGCGAGACCCACGUCCACAGUUGCCAGCAUACCCUCCGGGGUGAUGGGUACACUGUGGAGACCGCCGCUGCUAAAGCGGAGGAAGGAGUGGGCAACGGUAGGUCAGUAUGCCCCGAAUCUCCUGGGCUACACGCGGGCUACAAUGGUUGGUACAAUGGGCAUCUACCCCGAAAGGGGAAGGAAAUCUCUUAAAGCCAAUCGUAGUUCGGAUUGAGGGCUGCAACUCGCCCUCAUGAAGCUGGAAUCCGUAGUAAUCGCGUUUCAACAGAACGCGGUGAAUACGUCCCUGCUCCUU
rnacentral:rRNA from 1 species